AGUGGCGACCGGGUGAGUAACACGUGACUAACCUACUCGAGUGGGGAAUAACCUCAGGAAACCGGGGCUAAUACCGCAUAAUGUCUUCGGACCAAAGGAGCAAUUCGCUUGAAGAGGGGGUCGCGGCCGAUUAGCUAGUUGGUGGGGUAACGGCCCACCAAGGCAAUGAUCGGUAGCCGGCCUGAGAGGGCGCACGGCCACACUGGAACUGAAACACGGUCCAGACUCCUACGGGAGGCAGCAGUGGGGAAUUUUGCGCAAUGGGGGAAACUCUGACGCAGCAACGCCGCGUGGAGGAUGAAGCCCCUUGGGGUGUAAACUCCUUUCGAUCGGGACGAUUAUGACGGUACCGGAUGAAGAAGCACCGGCUAACUCUGUGCCAGCAGCCGCGGUAAUACAGAGGGUGCAAGCGUUGUUCGGAAUUAUUGGGCGUAAAGGGUGCGUAGGCGGUGCGGUAAGUCUUUUGUGAAAUCUCCGGGCUUAACUCGGAGCCUGCAAGGGA
rnacentral:rRNA from 1 species